AUAGUACUUUUAAAGUUCCUCGUGCCAAUACAUAUUUUCGGAUUAACUUGAAGGGUGUAUAUGCUAAUGCCCAGAGUUGUGUAUUGUCUGAAUUGUUCAUUCUCCUCCUUAAAAAUGAGUUGAAUGAAAUCAUAUAUCAGCUUGUAUUGCAAAGUUAGAAACUUCUAUCUCCUAUGUUGGCGACAAACUGGAACUGAAGGUCUAUGGUUUCAAUGAGAAGCUUCCCAUUCUCUUAUCUAAAGUUUUAUCAGUAGCUAGAUCCUUUAUUCCUUCUGGCGAUCGAUUUGAGGUUAUAAAAGAAGACAUGAAGAGAACUUUGAAGAAUACCAACAUGAAGCCUUUAAGUCAUUUGUCAUAUUUGAGAUUGCAAGUUUUGUGCCGAGCUUUUAUGACACUGACGAGAAGUUGCAUCAUAUAAAUGAUUUGUUUCUUGAUGAUUUGAUUGCAUUCAUCCCCGAACUUCGCUCCAAGUGCCAAUCUAGUUAGAG